rnacentral:rRNA from 1 species
GACGAACGCUGGCGGCGCGCCUAACACAUGCAAGUCGAACGGAGCUUAGAGAGCUUGCUUUUUAAGCUUAGUGGCGAACGGGUGAGUAACGCGUGAGUAACCUGCCCUAGAGUGGGGGACAACAGUUGGAAACGACUGCUAAUACCGCAUAAGCCCACGGUACCGCAUGGCACUGAGGGAAAAGGAUUUAUUCGCUUUAGGAUGGACUCGCGUCCAAUUAGCUAGUUGGUGAGGUAACGGUCCACCAAGGCGACGAUUGGUAGCCGGACUGAGAGGUUGAACGGCCACAUUGGGACUGAGACACGGCCCAGACUCCUACGGGAGGCAGCAGUGGGGGAUAUUGCACAAUGGGGGAAACCCUGAUGCAGCGACGCCGCGUGGAGGAAGAAGGUUUUCGGAUUGUAAACUCCUGUCGUUAGGGACGAUAAUGACGGUAC